AACUAAGUUUGUUAUUGGUAUGAGCUUUCGUGUGCAUGCACACUUCUUCAGAUACACUGAAACAGAAGUCACCAGACCCUCUCAUGUGUAAGGCUCUGGUCACUUCUGUUUCACUGUAUCUGAAGAAGUGUGCAUGCACACGAAAGCUCAUACCAAUAACAAACUUAGUUGG